GACAGAGGGUGCAAACGUUGUUCGGAUUUACUGGGCGUAAAGCGUGUGUAGGCGGCUUGGCAAGUUGGAUGUGAAAGCCCACGGCUCAACCGUGGAAGCGCACCCAAAACUGCUUCGCUCGAGUCUCGGAGAGGAAGGUGGAAUGCUUGGUGUAGAGGUGAAAUUCGUAGAUAUUCGGAAGAACACCAGUGGCGAAGGCGACUCACUGGACAUGUAUUGACGCUGAGGUGCGAAAGCGUGGGGAGCAAACAGG
rnacentral:rRNA from 1 species